GUUGACCUCGGAUCAGGUAGGGAUACCCGCUGAACUUAAGCAUAUCAAUAAGCGGAGGAAAAGAAACCAACAGGGAUUGCCCUAGUAACGGCGAGUGAAGCGGCAACAGCUCAAAUUUGAAAUCUGGCGCAAGCCCGAGUUGUAAUUUGUAGAGGAUGCAUCUGGGCACCGGCCGGUCUAAGUUCCUUGGAACAGGACGUCAUAGAGGGUGAGAAUCCCGUAUGUGACCGGCUAGGACCCUCCACGUUGCUCCUUCGACGAGUCGAGUUGUUUGGGAAUGCAGCUCUAAAUGGGAGGUAAAUUUCUUCUAAAGCUAAAUACCGGCCAGAGACCGAUAGCGCACAAGUAGAGUGAUCGAAAGAUGAAAAGCACUUUGGAAAGAGAGUUAAAAAGCACGUGAAAUUGUUGAAAGGGAAGCGCUUGCGCCCAGACUUGUCGGCGGUGUUCCGCCGGUCUUCUGACCGGUUUACUCGCCGUCGGCAGGCCAGCAUCAUCUGGGACCGCCGGAUAAAGGCUUUGGGAAUGUAGCUCCUCUCGGGGAGUGUUAUAGCCCAUUGCACAAUACGGCGCGUCCCGGGUGAGGUCCGCGCUUCGGCAAGGAUGCUGGCGUAAUGGGCGUAAGCGGCCCGUCUUGAAACACGGACCAAGGAGUCGAUUAUCUAUGCGAGUGUUCGGGCGUCAAACCCCUACGCGUAAUGAAAGUGAACGGAGGUGGGAACCCGCAAGGGUGCACCAUCGACCGAUCCGGAUGUCUUCGGAUGGAUUUGAGUAAGAGCAUAGCUAAUCGGACCCGAAAGAUGGUGAACUAUGCCUGAAUAGGGUGAAGCCAGAGGAAACUCUGGUGGAGGCUCGCAGCGGUUCUGACGUGCAAAUCGAUCGUCAAAUUUGGGUAUAGGGGCGAAAGACUAAUCGAACCAUCUAGUAGCUGGUUCCUGCCG
rnacentral:rRNA from 1 species